rnacentral:rRNA from 1 species
ACGCUAGCUACAGGCUUAACACAUGCAAGUCGAGGGGAAACGGCAUUAAGUGCUUGCACUUUUUGGACGUCGACCGGCGCACGGGUGAGUAACGCGUAUCCAACCUUCCCAUGACUAAGGGAUAACCUGCCGAAAGGCAGACUAAUACCUUAUGGUCUUCACUGACGGCAUCAGAUGUGAAGUAAAGAUUUAUCGGUUAUGGAUGGGGAUGCGUCUGAUUAGCUUGUUGGCGGGGUAACGGCCCACCAAGGCGACGAUCAGUAGGGGUUCUGAGAGGAAGGUCCCCCACAUUGGAACUGAGACACGGUCCAAACUCCUACGGGAGGCAGCAGUGAGGAAUAUUGGUCAAUGGGCGAGAGCCAGAACCAGCCAAGUAGCGUGCAGGAUGACGGCCCUAUGGGUUGUAAACUGCUUUUGUAUGGGGAUAAAGUCAAUCACGUGUGAUUGUUUGCAGGUACCAUACGAAUAAGGACCGGCUAAUUCCGUGCCAGCAGCCGCGGUAAUACGGAAGGUCCGGGCGUUAUCCGGAUUUAUUGGGUUUAAAGGGAGCGUAGGCUGGAGAUUAAGUGUGUUGUGAAAUGUAGACGCUCAACGUCUGACUUGCAGCGCAUACUGGUUUCCUUGAGUACGCACAACGUUGGCGGAAUUCGUCGUGUAGCGGUGAAAUGCUUAGAUAUGACGAAGAACUCCGAUUGCGAAGGCAGCUGACGGGAGCGCAACUGACGCUGAAGCUCGAAGGUGCGGGUAUCGAACAGGAUUAGAUACCCUGGUAGUCCGCACAGUAAACGAUGGAUGCCCGCUGUUGGUACCUGGUAUCAGCGGCUAAGCGAAAGCAUUAAGCAUCCCACCUGGGGAGUACGCCGGCAACGGUGAAACUCAAAGGAAUUGACGGGGGCCCGCACAAGCGGAGGAAC